rnacentral:rRNA from 1 species
UCGAGAAUUUUUCACAAUGGGCGCAAGCCUGAUGGAGCGACGCCGCGUGGGGGAUGAAUGGCUUCGGCCCGUAAACCCCUGUCAUUUGCGAUCAAACCUCAUUAUUUAAAAGAUGAUGAGCUGAUAGUAGCGAAAGAGGAAGGGACGGCUAACUCUGUGCCAGCAGCCGCGGUAAUACAGAGGUCCCGAGCGUUGUUCGGAUUCACUGGGCGUAAAGGGUGCGUAGGUGGUGAGGUGUGUCGGAUGUGAAAUCUCGGAGCUUAACUCCGAAAUGGCAUUGGAAACUACCUUGCUAGAGGGUUGGAGGGGGGACUGGAAUACUUGGUGUAGCAGUGAAAUGCGUAGAUAUCAAGUGGAACACCAGUGGCGAAGGCGAGUCCCUGGACAACUCCUGACACUGAGGCACGAAAGCUAGGGGAGCAAACAGG